CAUAAGCUAAUAUAAUCUGCUAAAAAAAAAAUUUAAUAUCUUUUUCAUUUCUACUUCUCUUAGACCUGUGAUAAAUCAUUCAUAAUCAAUUUAUUUCUCCUGUUCCUUUCUUUUUCUUCUCCAUGGGUUAUGUUCUUUGUCUUUUGCCUUCAUAUAUUUUGUCUCAGGUAAGUCGGAGAUCUAAAGACACCACGACAACAGUAAGCUUUCGUAAAUAUCUUUGCCAAAUAACAUUAUUUUGCUCAGCUUCUUGGACUUAAAGUUGAUGAAGAUUUCUCUUCAAAAUUCUCCACAUCUUCUACCAUCAUCUGAUUAACUCAUCAUCGUCUGAGCCUCCACUGGCAGAUCUACCAAAUUCUCUCCUUUAAAUCAACACUUUCUUUGUUAAUUUUUGUCCUACUUAUAUUUGGGUGGUUCAAGUUUGUAAUUCCAAUUAUUAUUAUUUUUUAGUAAUUUUGAUUUGUGGGUACUAAUCAAUUUGAUUUUCUGCUGUAAAAAAUUAAUGAUAUUUGAUGUGGAUGCCACUUAAUUUUGAUUCUUUUCGGUAAGAUGCCUGCUAAUAAAAUUCGUGUUAUUUCAGGAUCAUCAUGAGAUUACACUUAUCUAAAUCUUCUGUUUAUAGGAAGCUAUAAAUAAAUCAGUAAAAUUCUGGGGUAUUGCAAAUUUACUCCAAAAGAAACCACCAAGAGAAGUCUUCAUCCUUUUGUGCUACAGUUAGCAGAGAUCGUUUUAGCUAAGACAAUAUAUAUAAUGCUUGGUUACUUAAUUGCUAAGAUUUACUCUUUGAAUUAUACGAUAAAAACAUUUGUAUUCUCAAUUUUUUUACAAUACUGCUAAAUCCUGUAUUACUUGAUUUUGCUAUGCCUAAACUAUUGUAGUACUCACAAAA